GACGUAGGGCGCGAGCGUUAAUCGGAAUUACUGGGCGUAAAGCGUGCGCAGGCGGUUCGCUAAGACCGAUGUGAAAUCCCCGGGCUUAACCUGGGAACUGCAUUGGUGACUGGCGGGCUAGAGUAUGGCAGAGGGGGGGUAGAAUUCCACGUGUAGCAGUGAAAUGCGUAGAGAUGUGGAGGAAUACCGAUGGCGAAGGCAGCCCCCUGGGCCAAUACUGACGCUCAUGCACGAAAGCGUGGGGAGCAAACAGG
rnacentral:rRNA from 1 species